AUAAGCGGAGGAAAAGAAACCAACAGGGAUUGCCCUAGUAACGGCGAGCGAAGCGGCAACAGCUCAAAUUUGAAAUCUGGCUACUUUGUAGUCCGAGUUGUAAUUUGUAGAGGAUGCUUUUGGUGAGGUGCCUUCCGAGUUCCCUGGAACGGGACGCCAGAGAGGGUGAGAGCCCCGUACGGUUGGAUACCAAACCUUUGUAUAGCUCCUUCAACGAGUCGAGUAGUUUGGGAAUGCUGCUCUAAAUGGGAGGUAUAUCUCUUCUAAAGCUAAAUAUAGGCUAGAGACCGAUAGCGCACAAGUAGAGUGAUCGAAAGAUGAAAAGCACUUUGAAAAGAGAGUUAAACAGCACGUGAAAUUGUUGAAAGGGAAGCGCCUAUGACCAGACUUGUUUCUUUCAGUUUUGUUAGUUCUCGGACUGAUUUACUCUGUUAGUACAGGCCAGCAUCAGUUUGUUGUCGGGGAGAAAGGCUUAGGGAAUGUGGCUCCUUCGGGAGUGUUAUAGCCCUUUGCAUAAUACCCUUCGGCAGACUGAGGACCGCGCUUCGGCAAGGAUGCUGGCGUAAUGGUCAUCAGCGACCCGUCUUGAAACACGGACCAAGGAGUCAACCUUAUGUGCGAGUGUUUGGGUGUAAAACCCCAGCGCGUAAUGAACGUGAACGUAGGUGAGAGCUUCGGCGCAUCAUCGACCGAUUCUGAUGUUCUCGGAUGGAUUUGAGUAAGAGCACACAGGGUUGGACCCGAAAGAAGGUGAACUAUGCUUGUAUAGGGUGAAGCCAGAGGAAACUCUGGUGGAGGCUCGCAGCGGUUCUGACGUGCAAAUCGAUCGUCAAAUAUGAGCAUGGGGGCGAAAGACUAAUCG
rnacentral:rRNA from 1 species